AACGAACGCUGGCGGCAGGCCUAACACAUGCAAGUCGAACGCAUCGCAAGAUGAGUGGCGCACGGGUGAGUAACACGUGGGAAUGUAUCCUUUGGUUCGGAAUAACGUUUGGAAACGAACGCUAAUACCGGAUAAGCCCUUAGGGGGAAAGAUUUAUCGCCGAAGGAGCAGCCCGCGUCUGAUUAGGUAGUUGGUGGGGUAAAGGCCUACCAAGCCGACGAUCAGUAGCUGGUCUGAGAGGAUGAUCAGCCACACUGGGACUGAGACACGGCCCAGACUCCUACGGGAGGCGGCAGUGGGGAAUAUUGGACAAUGGGCGCAAGCCUGAUCCAGCCAUGCCGCGUGAGUGAUGAAGGCCUUCGGGUUGUAAAGCUCUUUCGCACACGACGAUGAUGACGGUAGUGUGAGAAGAAGCCCCGGCUAACUUCGUGCCAGCCGCCGCAAUAACAC
rnacentral:rRNA from 1 species